AGAACGAACGCUGGCGGCAUGCCUAACACAUGCAAGUCGAACGAGACCUUCGGGUCUAGUGGCGCACGGGUGCGUAACGCGUGGGAACCUGCCCUUAGGUUCGGAAUAACUCAGAGAAAUUUGAGCUAAUACCGGAUAAUGUCUUCGGACCAAAGAUUUAUUGCCUUUGGAUGGGCCCGCGUAGGAUUAGCUAGUUGGUGGGGUAAAGGCCUACCAAGGCGACGAUCCUUAGCUGGUCUGAGAGGAUGAUCAGCCACACUGGGACUGAGACACGGCCCAGACUCCUACGGGAGGCAGCAGUGGGGAAUAUUGGACAAUGGGCGAAAGCCUGAUCCAGCAAUGCCGCGUGAGUGAUGAAGGCCUUAGGGUUGUAAAGCUCUUUUACCCGGGAUGAUAAUGACAGUACCGGAGAAUAAGCUCCGGCUAACUCCGUGCCAAGCAGCCGC
rnacentral:rRNA from 1 species